rnacentral:rRNA from 1 species
UAGGUCCUACGGGGCGCAGCAGUGAGGAAUAUUGGUCAAUGGGCGCAAGCCUGAACCAGCCAAGUCGCGUGAGGGAUGACGGUCCUAUGGAUUGUAAACCUCUUUUGUCGGGGAGCAAGGCCCGCCACGUGUGGCGGGAAGGAGAGUACCCGAAGAAAAAGCAUCGGCUAACUCCGUGCCAGCAGCCGCGGUAAUACGGAGGAUGCGAGCGUUAUCCGGAUUUAUUGGGUUUAAAGGGUACGUAGGCGGAAGGUUAAGUCAGCGGGCAAAUGGCGGUGGUCAACACCGGCCUGCCGUUGAAACUG